rnacentral:rRNA from 1 species
GGAUGAUAAANUAGCUGNCCGGGCAAUUGGUGNUUAGGNUGGCGCAGCUAACGCAUUAAGUUAUCCGCCUGGGGAGUACGNCCGCAAGGUUAAAANUCAAAGGAAUUGACGGGGACCUUGCACAAGCGGUGGAGCAUGUGGUUUAAUUNGAAGCAACGCGCAGAACCUUACCAGCGUUUGACAUGGUAGGACGACUUCCAGAGAUGGAUUUCUUCCCUUCGNGGACCUACACACAGGUGCUGCAUGGCUGUCGUCAGCUCGUGUCGUGAGAUGUUGGGUUAAGUCCCGCAACGAGCGCAACCCUCGCCUUUAGUUACCAUCAUUUGGUUGGGUACUCUAAAGGAACCGCCGGUGAUAAGCCGGAGGAAGGUGGGGAUGACGUCAAGUCCUCAUGGCCCUUACGCGCUGGGCUACACACGUGCUACAAUGGCAACUACAGUGGGCAGCGACCCUGCGAGGGCGAGCUAAUCCCCAAAAGUUGUCUCAGUUCGGAUUGUUCUCUGCAACUCGAGAGCAUGGAGGCGGAAUCGCUAGUAAUCGCGGAUCAGCAUGCCGCGGUGAAUACGUUCCCAGGCCUUGUACACACCGCCCGUCACACCAUGGGAGUUGGAUUCACCCGAAGGCGUUGCGCCAACCUAGCAAUAGGAAGCAGGCGACCACGGUGGGUUCAGCGACUGGGGUGAAGUCGUAACAAGGUAGCCGUAG